AGUCACCCAGGUUGCCAGUGGUCAGACCUGCCCUUUUGCUACCACUGGGCUCCUCUUAGUAGUGGUGGGGAGCUCUGCUUGUUCCUGGGAGAACUCAGUAUGUUACAGAAGACCCACAUUGCUGCUAGCCUGUGGGAUCUGAGGAACAAACAUGGUGCAGGUGACACAAAGACACAAGCAGCAGCUUCAGUCCUGCAGUGGGGCUCCUGUUCCCGGGUCUGGAGAGUGGCAUUAAGAGGGCACUUCAGUUUACAGGAGGCAGCCCAGCUGAUGGGUGCAUCUGCCUUUGCCAAACCUCCGGACUUUUCAGAGCACAAAAUGCCCGUUACCCCUCUCACUUCGCUCUCCAAAAGGCUCUAGGCGUCCAGUGCCCGCCGCUAACCCUG